GACGAACGCUGGCGGCGUGCCUAAUACAUGCAAGUCGAGCGAACAGAUGAGGAUCUUGCUCCUCUGACGUUAGCCGCGCACGGGUGAGUAACAUGUGUAUAACCUCCUUAUAAUCCUGGUAUAACCUCGGGAAACCGGAGCCUAUCCCGUAUAAUAUAUUGAACCGCAUGGUUCAAUAGUUAAAGACGGUUUUGCUGUCACUUAUAGAUGGAUCCGCGCCGCAUUAGUUAGUUGGUAAGGUAACGGCUUACUAAGGCAACGAUGCGUAGCCGACCUGAGAGGGUGAUCGGCCACACUGGAACUGAGACACGGUCCAGACUCCUACGGGAGGCAGCAGUAGGGAAUCUUCCGCAAUGGGCGAAAGCCUGACGGAGCAACGCCGCGUGAGUGAUGAAGGUCUUCGGAUCGUAAAACUCUGUUAUUAGGGAAGAACAAAUGUGUAAGUAACUAUGCACGUCUUGACGGUACCUAAUCAGAAAGCCACGGCUAACUACGUG
rnacentral:rRNA from 1 species